AGAUUUCCUGUUCUGUAUGAUUUAACUCCGUUGGCUCUGCUCCCUUGCCCAACUGAUAUGCCUGAAAAGUUCACAGAUGCAAGCAAACCAGUGUGGUGCUCUGGGAUCAGAUUGCCUUGGCAUUUGCUGCCGAUGAAGUUAUUGAGCUGGGCAAGAAAGAACUGGUGGUUGCUACGUUUGUUGUGACGCUGUUCAAGAAAUAUGAAGUUUUGAGAUUGGCCUUGAUAGCUGGUUAUCAUUGUACAAGACAUCUUAGGU